AGUCCGUCGACGGCUCCCGUUCCUGGUCGGUGGUGUGGGGUCCUCCUCCAGUGUCAGGAUAUCUUGUUCUCUCUGGCAGUAUGGCAUUCUUCAGUUUGUCAGGUGAAGCGGGAGUGCUGUCUGUUGGUUUGUAGUUUCAACAGGUGGUCGUUCAGAAGUGUGGCAUUUCUGUGCAGGUUAAGAAGCCCACUGUGAAUUUUGCAGCUCUUCAGGUAUGUGGGAAGAAACAGAAAGGUUCGUGUCCUUGAGAGGCUUGAAUGCUUGCUUUGAGUUGAAGGUGGUCAUCCAAAGAGGUUUGGACUGGAGUUCCUUCCUGUGCUGGCUGAGAUCUGUGCUUUCCUGGGUUUUAGUUGUGUGUUCUAUAUGAGCAGUAUUGGGCUCGUUAAAAAAAAAAAUUGUGGAUUCUUUGUUUUUUAGCAUGUUUUCGUAUGUUUACUGUGGUUUUGAGAUUUUUUAAUUUUGCUGUAUGUACCGAAUAUGUAUUGGAGCAUGUAAAGGAUUUUUUUGGAUAUAUACUGACUAUGUCUUGUUUUUAUGGUAUUUUUGCCUGGUAGUAAAAAACACAACCUGUUAAAUAGGCUUGAAUGUGAUAUUUUGGAGUUGCAUUUUGAGACAGAAACGUGUAAGAAAGGUAUUUGUUGACCUGAAUUUAUUGGGUUUCCUACAAUUGUAAGCUGUGCUUUGCAUUGUAUUUUCAAUCUCUGUCCUGCGUCUGUACAGCAUUUGUUGUUGUGGAAUGAAUAUUUGCAUGUUGUGUACUUGAAAAGCAUGUUUGGACCUCUGUUAGCUUUUUGUACACUGUGCAUUGUUACAUUAUCUCAGAAUGUAUUUUGAACCUGUA